rnacentral:tRNA from 1 species
GGGGUUGUAGCUCAGUGGUAGAGCGCGUAUGUUCCUCUGCGGUUCCCAAGUUGAUCUUUACAAUACUAAUUGCUCGCCAGCCGCUUUGCAUGGACGAUCAUUCGUUUCAGCCGAUUGCGGGAGGUCUUGGGUUCAAUCCCCAACAGCUCCA